UACGUAGGUGGCAAGCGUUGUCCGGAAUUAUUGGGCGUAAAGCGCGCGCAGGCGGUCCUUUAAGUCUGAUGUGAAAGCCCACGGCUCAACCGUGGAGGGUCAUUGGAAACUGGGGGACUUGAGUGCAGAAGAGGAAAGCGGAAUUCCACGUGUAGCGGUGAAAUGCGUAGAUAUCUGGAGGAACACCGGUGGCGAAGGCGGCAUCCUGGACCGGCAUUGACGCUGAGGCGCGAAAGCCAGGGGAGCAAACGGGG
rnacentral:rRNA from 1 species